GGCCAAGUUUUUAAGGGCGCACGGUGGAUGCCUUGGCACCAGGAACCGAUGAAGGACGUGGGAGGCCGCGAUAGUCCCCGGGGAGUCGUCAACCAGGCUUUGAUCCGGGGGUUUCCGAAUGGGGAAACCCGGCAGUCGUCAUGGGCUGUCACCCUUGCCUGAACACAUAGGGCAAGUGGAGGGAACGCGGGGAAGUGAAACAUCUCAGUACCCGCAGGAAGAGAAAACAACCGUGAUUCCGGGAGUAGUGGCGAGCGAAACUGGAUGAGGCCAAACCGUAUGCGUGUGAGACCCGGCAGGGGUUGCGUAUGCGGGGUUGUGGGAUCUCUCUUCCACGGUCUGCCGGCCGUGGGGCGAGUCAGAAACCGUUGAUGUAGGCGAAGGACAUGCGAAAGGUCCGGCGUAGAGGGUAAGACCCCCGUAGUCGAAACGUCAGCGGCUCGUUUGAGAGACACCCAAGUAGCACGGGGCCCGAGAAAUCCCGUGUGAAUCUGGCGGGACCACCCGCUAAGCCUAAAUAUUCCCUGGUGACCGAUAGCGGAUAGUACCGUGAGGGAAUGGUGAAAAGUACCCCGGGAGGGGAGUGAAAUAGUACCUGAAACCGUGUGCCUACAAGCCGUGGGAGCGUCGGAUGCAGCUUGCUGUAUCUCGUGACUGCGUGCCUUUUGAAGAAUGAGCCUGCGAGUUUGCGGUGUGUUGCGAGGUUAACCCGGGUGGGGUAGCCGUAGCGAAGCGAGUCCGAAUAGGGCGUUUCAGUAGCGCGCUCAAGACCCGAAGCGGAGUGAUCUAGCCAUGGGCAGGUUGAAGCGGAGGUAAGACUUCGUGGAGGACCGAACCCACCAGGGUUGAAAACCUGGGGGAUGACCUGUGGUUAGGGGUGAAAGGCCAAUCAAACUCCGUGAUAGCUGGUUCUCCCCGAAAUGCAUUUAGGUGCAGCGUCGUGUGUUUCUUGCCGGAGGUAGAGCACUGGAUAGGCGAUGGGCCCUACCGGGUUACUGACCUUAGCCAAACUCCGAAUGCCGGUAAGUGAGAGCGCGGCAGUGAGACUGUGGGGGAUAAGCUCCAUGGUCGAGAGGGAAACAGCCCAGAGCAUCGACUAAGGCCCCUAAGCGUACGCUAAGUGGGAAAGGAUGUGGAGUCGCACAGACAACCAGGAGGUUGGCUUAGAAGCAGCCACCCUUGAAAGAGUGCGUAAUAGCUCACUGGUCAAGUGAUUCCGCGCCGACAAUGUAGCGGGGCUCAAGCGUACCGCCGAAGUCGUGUCAUUCGUACAGUAGCCCCAACGGGUGUAUGGAUGGGUAGGGGAGCGUCGUCUGCCGGGUGAAGCAGCCGCGUAAGCGAGUUGUGGACGGUUGACGAGUGAGAAUGCAGGCAUGAGUAGCGAUACAAACGUGAGAAACGUUUGCGCCGAUUGACUAAGGGUUCCUGGGUCAAGCUGAUCUGCCCAGGGUAAGUCGGGACCUAAGGCGAGGCCGACAGGCGUAGUCGAUGGAUAACCGGUUGAUAUUCCGGUACCCGCUGUGAAGCGUCAAACACUGAGCAUCGUGAUGCUAAGGCCGUGAAACCGCCGUGUGCGUCUUCGGACAAGCACGGAGUGGUGGAGCCGCCGGACCAAGCGGUUAGUAGGUGAGUGAUGGGGUGACGCAGGAAGGUAGUCCAUCCCGGGCGGUGGUUGUCCCGGGGUAAGGGUGUAGGACGUCAGGUAGGUAAAUCCGCCUGGCAUGUGUCUGAGACCUGAUGCCGAGCCGAUUGUGGUGAAGUGGAUGAUCCUAUGCUGUCGAGAAAAGCCUCUAGCGAGUUUCAUGGCGGCCCGUACCCUAAACCGACUCAGGUGGUCAGGUAGAGAAUACCGAGGCGUUCGGGUGAACUAUGGUUAAGGAACUCGGCAAAAUGCCCCCGUAACUUCGGGAGAAGGGGGGCCACAUCCGGUGACGGCACUUGCUGCCGGAGCUGGGGGUGGCCGCAGAGACCAGCGAGAAGCGACUGUUUACUAAAAACACAGGUCCGUGCGAAGCCGUAAGGCGAUGUAUACGGACUGACGCCUGCCCGGUGCUGGAACGUUAAGGGGACCGGUUAGCUCCAUUUCGGUGGGGCGAAGCUGAGAACUUAAGCGCCAGUAAACGGCGGUGGUAACUAUAACCAUCCUAAGGUAGCGAAAUUCCUUGUCGGGUAAGUUCCGACCUGCACGAAUGGCGUAACGACUUCUCGACUGUCUCAACCAUAGGCCCGGUGAAAUUGCACUACGAGUAAAGAUGCUCGUUUCGCGCAGCAGGACGGAAAGACCCCGGGACCUUUACUACAGUUUGAUAUUGGUGUUCGGUUCGGCUUGUGUAGGAUAGCUGGGAGACUUUGAAACGCGGACGCCAGUUCGUGUGGAGUCGUCGUUGAAAUACCAGUCUGGUCGUGCUGGAUGUCUAACCUGGGUCCGUGAUCCGGAUCAGGGACAGUGUCUGAUGGGUAGUUUAACUGGGGCGGUUGCCUCCUAAAGGGUAACGGAGGCGCCCAAAGGUUCCCUCAGCCUGGUUGGCAAUCAGGUGUUGAGUGUAAGUGCACAAGGGAGCUUGACUGUGAGACCGACGGGUCGAGCAGGGACGAAAGUCGGGACUAGUGAUCCGGCGGUGGCUUGUGGAAGCGCCGUCGCUCAACGGAUAAAAGGUACCCCGGGGAUAACAGGCUGAUCUUCCCCAAGAGUCCAUAUCGACGGGAUGGUUUGGCACCUCGAUGUCGGCUCGUCGCAUCCUGGGGCUGGAGUCGGUCCCAAGGGUUGGGCUGUUCGCCCAUUAAAGCGGUACGCGAGCUGGGUUUAGAACGUCGUGAGACAGUUCGGUCCCUAUCCGCUGUGCGCGUAGGAGUCUUGAGAAGGGCUGUCCCUAGUACGAGAGGACCGGGACGGACGAACCUCUGGUGUGCCAGUUGUUCUGCCAAGGGCAUGGCUGGUUGGCUACGUUCGGGAGGGAUAACCGCUGAAAGCAUCUAAGCGGGAAGCCUGCUUCGAGAUGAGGACUCCCACCCACUUGAUGGGGUAAGGCUCCCAGUAGACGACUGGGUUGAUAGGCCGGAUAUGGAAGCACGGUAACGUGUGGAGUUGACCGGUACUAAUAGGCCGAGGGCUUGUCCUC
rnacentral:rRNA from 1 species